GCCACUGUAUCUUAUGAUCCUAACACAGUUGCAGAGCAACUAAAGGCUACGGAAGACUUAGUUUCAUUGUAUUUGACGCCUGAGGACGAUUUCACACAGCCACCCCCAUGGAGCAGAAACGGAUGUCUACACAAGCCUAAGAAGGGAUCUAAGAAGAGAUCUAUUGAGCCUGUGCCAUACCAGAAAGGCUUCCCGCCCAAAAGACGCAACCAUUCCUUUGUUCCGGUCUCAUCUUACCCG